rnacentral:rRNA from 1 species
AUGGCUGCGACCCGCGAGGCCGAGCACGCCGAUGCAGCGCACAUCAGCAGGACCACGACGCCACGAGGGUACAGGAGGCGACAGCCGGUGUCCAGGACCAAGAAGAAAUUUCUUGAACUGAAACUUUCUAGUCUGGCAGGUGAAGGUGAAGCGUUUCUCGCCAGGCCGUGCAUGAGGAGACGGUCGUCAAGGGCCUGGACGGAGAUGCUUCCUCCGUCUGCUGCUGGUAGGCCAUGGAGCUUCCGAGCCUAUCAGGAAGGAGGAAGGGCUAAGAUCUACCCUACGGGAGGAAGGAAGGAGGAAGAGGCCAUUGGCGACGGAGAAAUCCCCGUCAUCGGCUGCUCCUCCAAGUCCCAAGGAUGGAGGAGGUCCAUCAUUAUCUACCACAACAAUGAUCAGGGGCUUGCUGAUCACAAAAGGUCAACUUGGAGCUCCUCUCUAACCUUGCAGGUAAUUAAUCAUCUCAUGAGUUUCUAA